GAUGAACGCUAGCUACAGGCUUAACACAUGCAAGUCGAGGGGCAGCAUGGUCUUAGCUUGCUAAGGCCGAUGGCGACCGGCGCACGGGUGAGUAACACGUAUCCAACCUGCCGUCUACUCUUGGACAGCCUUCUGAAAGGAUGAUUAAUACAAGAUGGCAUCAUGAGUCCGCAUGUUCACAUGAUUAAAGGUAUUCCGGUAGACGAUGGGGAUGCGUUCCAUUAGAUAGUAGGCGGGGUAACGGCCCACCUAGUCUUCGAUGGAUAGGGGUUCUGAGAGGAAGGUCCCCCACAUUGGAACUGAGACACGGUCCAAACUCCUACGGGAGGCAGCAGUGAGGAAUAUUGGUCAAUGGGCGAGAGUCUGAACCAGCCAAGUAGCGUGCAGGAUGACGGCCCUAUGGGUUGUAAACUGCUUUUAUAAGGGAAUAAAGUGAGUCUCGUGAGACUUUUUGCAUGUACCUUAUGAAUAAGGACCGGCUAAUUCCG
rnacentral:rRNA from 1 species